rnacentral:rRNA from 1 species
GACGGGGGAUGCAAGUGUUAUCCGGAAUUACUGGGCGUAAAGCGUCUGUAGGUGGUCAAAUAAGUCAACUGUUAAAUCUUGAGGCUCAACCUCAAAAUCGCAGUCGAAACUAUUAGACUAGAGUAUAGUAGGGGUAAAGGGAAUUUCCAGUGGAGCGGUGAAAUGCGUAGAGAUUGGAAAGAACACCAAUGGCGAAAGCACUUUACUGGGCUAUUACUAACACUCAGAGACGAAAGCUAGGGUAGCAAAUGGG